rnacentral:rRNA from 1 species
UACGAAGGGGGCUAGCGUUGUUCGGAAUUACUGGGCGUAAAGCGCGCGCAGGUGGUCUUUCAAGUCAGUGGUGAAAGCCCGGAGCUCAACUCCGGAAAUGCCAUUGAAACUGUAAGACUUGAGGAUGAGAGAGGUGAGUGGAAUUCCCAGUGUAGAGGUGAAAUGCGCAGAUAUCAGGAAGAACACCCGUGGCUAAGGCGGCUCUCUAGUACGGUACUGACGCUGAGACGCGAAAAGCGUGGGGAGCGAACAGG